rnacentral:rRNA from 1 species
UGGGGAAUCUUGGACAAUGGGGGCAACCCUGAUCCAGCCAUGCCGCGUGAGUGAUGAAGGCCUUAGGGUCGUAAAGCUCUUUCGCCUGUGAAGAUAAUGACGGUAGCAAGGUAAAGAACCCCGGCUAACUCCGUGCCAGCAGCCGCGGUAAUACGGAGGGGGUUAGCGUUGUUCGGAAUUACUGGGCGUAAAGCGCACGUAGGCGGACCAGAAAGUUGGGGGUGAAAUCCCGGGGGCUCAACCCCGGAACUGCCUCCAAAACUAUUGGUCUAGAGUUCGAGAGAGGUGAGUGGAAUUCCAAGUGUAGAGGUGAAAUUCGUAGAUAUUUGGAGGAACACCAGUGGCGAAGGCGGCUCACUGGCUCGAUACUGACGCUGAGGUGCGAAAGUGUGGGGAGCAAACAGGAUUAGAUACCCUGGUAGUCCACGCCGUAAAACGAUGAGUGCUAGAUGUUGGGAUUUUACGGAUUUCAGUGUCGCAGCUGAAUCGCAUUAAGCACUCC